rnacentral:rRNA from 1 species
GACGAACGCUGGCGGCGUGCCUAAUACAUGCAAGUAGAACGCUGAAGGAGGAGCUUGCUCUUCUGGACGAGUUGCGAACGGGUGAGUAACGCGUAGGUAACCUGCCUGGUAGCGGGGGAUAACUAUUGGAAACGAUAGCUAAUACCGCAUAACAGUAGAUGUUGCAUGACAUUUGCUUAAAAGGUGCAAUUGCACCACUACCAGAUGGACCUGCGUUGUAUUAGCUAGUUGGUGGGGUAACGGCUCACCAAGGCGACGAUACAUAGCCGACCUGAGAGGGUGAUCGGCCACACUGGGACUGAGACACGGCCCAGACUCCUACGGGAGGCAGCAGUAGGGAAUCUUCGGCAAUAGACGGAAGUCUGACCGAGCAACGCCGCGUGAGUGAAGAAGGUUUUCGGAUCGUAAAGCUCUGUUGUAAGAGAAGAACGAGUGUGAGAGUGGAAAGUUCACACUGUGACGGUAUCUUACCAGAAAGGGACGGCUAACUACGUG